UCCACUGUUUACCGAAAACCCCAAACUACAAUUCAUACGUCUUUUGCAGAUACAGACAUAUGUAAAACAAUAAAGAAAUCUGCA
rnacentral:sRNA from 18 species